GAUGAACGCUGGCGGCGUGCCUAAUACAUGCAAGUCGAGCGAAUGGAUUAAGAGCUUACUCUUAUGAAGUUAGCGGCGGACGGGUGAGUAACACGUGGGUAACCUGCCAUAAGACUGGGAUAACUCCGGGAAACCGGGGCUAAUACCGGAUAACAUUUUGAACCGCAUGGUUCGAAAUUGAAAGGCGGCUUCGGCUGUCACUUAUGGAUGGACCCGCGUCGCAUUAGCUAGUUGGUGAGGUAACGGCUCACCAAGGCAACGAUGCGUAGCCGACCUGAGAGGGUGAUCGGCCACACUGGGACUGAGACACGGCCCAGACUCCUACGGGAGGCAGCAGUAGGGAAUCUUCCGCAAUGGACGAAAGUCUGACGGAGCAACACCGCGUGAGUGAUGAAGGCUUUCGGGUCGUAAAACUCUGUUGUUAGGGAAGAACAAGUGCUAGUUGAAUAAGCUGGCACCUUGACGGUACCUAACCAGAAAGCCACGGCUAACUACGUGCCAGCCGCCGCAGUAA
rnacentral:rRNA from 1 species